UUUAAUUUUUAAAUAAAUUACACAUUUCCAUACCUUUUAGAAAAUGAUUAGUAAUAAUGAUAAUAAACAGAAGAAACAGGAUGUGUAUAUGAGGAAAAGCUACUGGUGUUAACAUGAGUAUGAGUGGAUGGUGAGUUAUGUUUGCACAGAGGGGGGUCUCUCUGUUCAGAGGAGUCCUUUACACCGAUGAUUCUUCUGGGAAGAAGGGGGGGGGGGCAUGGGGGAGGAUAGAGGAUGAGAAGGAAGGAUGCUGAGGAAUGUGGAGAGAGGGGAGGAGAGGAUGUGCAACACCGACUGACCCUGGAGGUUGCGUUCCCCUUUAAAAGUCCCAUCCCUCUCAGAUACGCAGAGCUCAUGCAGGAUCUGCUGCGGCAGUGGGGGAACACUGCUGAGCUGUGCAGUUUGUGCUGCCAGUGAGCGUGCAAAGAAGAGGAGGGGGGGAACAAGCGUGCACCGGAGAAAGGAGGAGGAGUAACGGGAGAGAGAGUGCAAACAAUGUCAUUCUGUUCAGGAGGCAGUGCUGCAGUCAACUUUGCCGCGCCAUGAAAGCACAUCACCAGUGACCAGGAGGCUCGCAGAGUGAAGAGAAGUUUUCGUCCUCUCCUCCUUCGCUGUGAUGCGGUGCCUUACUCUUCUGUAGAGUUCCUGUCUGGUCGUCCGCAGCGGGACAAAGACGAAGCUCCAGGCACAGCUCACAGCUCUGCGAGUGUGGCAUCCAAGUGACUUUGCUCUCUCAUUGAUGAGGUCAUCGGCCUUGUUGACGGGCCGCAGCGGAAGGCGACGCCGCUGAUGUGCAGCACGCCACUCUUAGGAGACGCUCAGGUAGCCAAACUCGGGCCAUAUUGUAGCAGGCUCAUGAACCGGGUUCGACCGCUGGUGGCGUGUUGGAACAUGCCUUGACUUGUUGUGCUGUCUGGGUGAAGCACACACAGAAAGAGAGAGAGAGAGAGGAGGCACAGAGAAAGAGAAGAGGCUGGUGGUCAACUGGAACCUUGUGUGAAGUGACCCUGCAGCGCCCUGCACAUUUGGGUGGAUGGAGGAGCUGCGCCGCCGCCACCGCCUUAUUCCCUGGUCUUCCAGUGACUGGCGAAGCAUCCCAACACCAAAAAGCCGGAAAGUGGGAUGCAAACGUCAGCAGUGCCAGACUGAAGGGGUCAAACUGUGCGGCUAAAACCAGCCAAGUUCCUGCUGAGAGUAAGCAGGCGGACAGACGGGUGGACGGACGGUAGGCUGUGGCUGCUGUGGGUGUUUCUCUGGCAGUGUCUUAGCUGGUUGUUGUGAGGAGUGAGAACGAAGCAAUCAGCAAGUAUACUGCCGCAGAAAUUCUUCACAAUAAGAUGCCCUGGGAUCAAUGCUCGUCACGAGGUGCAGAGACUGAACAAAGGCUUUCAUAACGUGGAAAUGGACCCGGGCUGUAAACUCGAAAUGGAAACGGGAUAAUCUGAAGACAGACAGAGAGAGAAAGAGAGAGAGCAUGGCUUUUUUUAUUACCAACAUUUACAUUGGGAUGAAGGCAUCCGAACCGCUGAACUCUAAGCUGUAGUUCCAUGUUCUUCUGCUGCCAUCUUGUGACUGAAAGCAGCCUCUCUGCAUGCUUUUGUUGAUUAAAGUCUGCACCGAUUUACUGAACCUACAUCAGUCUUUUUUUUUUGUUUUUAGCGUCAAAAAAAUGUCUGCACGUCUUAAUAGUGCUAGAUUCCUUUUUUCCAGUGCAUCCUUCUUUGUAACCAAGCUUAAUUUAAUUUUUGAAUAUAUCAAACUUAUUAGCCAAGACAUUUCUCCAUGUUAGAUAUUUAAUUGUAAAAAGGUUGUAAUAAAUGUUUCAUAAUAACUUA